rnacentral:rRNA from 1 species
GAUGAACGCUAGCGAUAGGCUUAACACAUGCAAGUCGAGGGGCAGCAUGGUCUUAGCUUGCUAAGGCUGAUGGCGACCGGCGCACGGGUGCGUAACGCGUAUGCAACUUGCCUCACAGAGGGGGAUAACCCGUCGAAAGACGGACUAAUACCGCGUACACUCUAUGUUGGGCAUCCAAUGUAGAGGAAAUGAAAUUCGCUGUGAGAUAGGCAUGCGUCCCAUUAGCUAGUUGGUGAGGUAAUGGCUCACCAAGGCGACGAUGGGUAGGGGAACUGAGAGGUUGAACCCCCACACUGGUACUGAGACACGGACCAGACUCCUACGGGAGGCAGCAGUGAGGAAUAUUGGUCAAUGGGCGAGAGCCUGAACCAGCCAAGUCGCGUGAAGGAUGACUGUCUUAUGGAUUGUAAACUUCUUUUAUACGGGAAUAACAAGAGUCACGUGUGGCUCCCUGCAUGUACCGUAUGAAUAAGCAUCGGCUAACUCCGUG